rnacentral:rRNA from 1 species
UUGUUAAGCUAGAUGUGAAAGCCCCGGGCUCAACCUGGGAUGGUCAUUUAGAACUGGCAGACUAGAGUCUUGGAGAGGGGAGUGGAAUUCCAGGUGUAGCGGUGAAAUGCGUAGAUAUCUGGAGGAACAUCAGUGGCGAAGGCGACUCCCUGGCCAAAGACUGACGCUCAUGUGCGAAAGUGUGGGUAGCGAACAGGAUUAGAUACCCUGGUAGUCCACACCGUAAACGCUGUCUACUAGCUGUGUGUGCCUUUAAGGCGUGCGUAGCGAAGCUAACGCGCUAAGUAGACCGCCUGGGGAGUACGGCCGCAAGGUUAAAACUCAAAUGAAUUGACGGGGGCCCGCACAAGCGUUGGAGCAUGUGGUUUAAUUCGAUGAUACGCGA